UCUUCAGCUUCACUGUAUCAUUAAAGAAACAAUUAAAAAAAAAACUAAAAACAGGGUACACAUUGAAGAUGAGAAGACUGAGGCUCUGAGACACUGACAUCAUCCAGCUUUUUCAGUUAACGAGAUGCAAUAUUUGAAAUCAAGCUUGUUCUGACUUCAAAUUCCUUGUUCCUGCCAGGCCUUUUCAAGAUCUAAAACUAUGGGAUUCUUGAGCUGAAAGGGAAUUUAGAGAUCUGCUGGCCAGCUUUUGCCUGAUUCUGAAGGAUGUUAAAUACAUUUCCACAAAACAACAUUUGGCAAAUGCCAAAUUAAAAGUUGUUAAGUGGAUUUCUUGAUCACAGAAUGUCCCAGAGCUUUUAUUUUGCUGGCUAAUCUUGAUGCUUUUGCUGAUCUUAUUUGACAAUGAAUUUAUCUUGGGGUCCAUCUACCUAAGAACCACAUCAUAUCAGGGAUCUGGGAUGAGCUGCCCUCUCUGCUUCUUUAUAGAAAUAGAAUUUCACUUGUUCUGGACUUUUCUUGGAGUCACUCCUAUGCCACCUCAAGUUGACCUGGAAGGAAGUGGAAGAAUUGAACUUUUAAUUGUUAUUCAACUGAUUGACCAUUGGAAACAGGAAGUGGUAAUGAAGCGGCAGAUUUCUGCCCUCCUGAUUCUUUGCGCAAACAUCUAUUAGUUGUGCUCCAGAUUCCAGGGACUGGCUGGGGAUCUGUGUGGGAAGCUGGAGAGGACAGCUCCUGCCCUCAGUGUGUUGUUCCCUCAUCUGGUGUGUGUUAGUCGCUCAGUCAUGUCCGACUCUUUGCGACCCCGUGGGCUGUGGCCCGCCAGGCUCCUCUGUCCGUGGGAUUCUCCAGGCAAGAAUUCUGGAGUGGGUUGCCAUUCCCUUCUCUCAUACUCUAGAAGAAGGUGCACACCAAUCUCACAAAUAAUGACAAACAUUUGAUGAAAGGGGGCACUCGACAGAAGCCCAGAGAGGGCGGUAGCUCAUCCUGGUGAAGAAGGAUGCAGGGGCAGCUUUGUGCUCCGGUGCCUGCUCUUCCUCUUGGAGGGACAAAGGUCGUAUCAGCCCCUUCAGCUGCCCCAGGCGAGGAGGGUGGAGACUGUGUACCCAGCUGACAGAAGGUGUGGACGCCUCCUGGGACCCACCCCAGGGCAUUGGCAUCUGAGCUCCACAGCUUUCCUGACAGAAAGGAAAAAAAAAAAGAUUGAAAAUGUCUCAACUCCACAUGUCCUAUUUUUAAUUGAUUUUUGCACAGACUCUUCAAUCAGGAAAUGAAGUCCAGAGGCACAGAGAGAAGGUGGCCACCUCCCACUCCUCUCCCAGCAGCGCACUCACUGAGGGUCCCAUCACAGUCCUUUCGGACCACCGCUCAGGCCUUUGCUGAACACAAGCCUCCCAGGUCCAGACAGUCACAGAACAGCAAGAGGAGGUGACGCCUUGAGUCAUAUUCAUAUUCACUUUGACAUCGCCAUUGCCUCUCUGUGCAUCUGCGUGGUCUGAAGAAGGGAGUCUCGUUCAGGAAACACCUGCUGGAAGGAGGGCUUUGGAAAUGCCCAGGUGUGUCUGGUUGUCUUAGCAGUGGGCUGGGGGUGAUCUCAGCGCUUAUUGGGGAAAGGGCAGAGAUGCUAAAC
ensembl:lncRNA